CCUGGCUCACGAUGAACGCUAGCUACAGGCUUAACACAUGCAAGUCGAGGGGCAGCAUGGUCUUAGCUUGCUAAGGCCGAUGGCGACCGGCGCACGGGUGAGUAACACGUAUCCAACCUGCCGUCUACUCUUGGACAGCCUUCUGAAAGGAAGAUUAAUACAAGAUGGCAUCAUGAGUCCGCAUGUUCACAUGAUUAAAGGUAUUCCGGUAGACGAUGGGGAUGCGUUCCAUUAGAUAGUAGGCGGGGUAACGGCCCACCUAGUCUUCGAUGGAUAGGGGUUCUGAGAGGAAGGUCCCCCACAUUGGAACUGAGACACGGUCCAAACUCCUACGGGAGGCAGCAGUGAGGAAUAUUGGUCAAUGGGCGAGAGCCUGAACCAGCCAAGUAGCGUGAAGGAUGACUGCCCUAUGGGUUGUAAACUUCUUUUAUAAAGGAAUAAAGUCGGGUAUGGAUACCCGUUUGCAUGUACUUUAUGAAUAAGGAUCGGCUAACUCCGUGCCAGCAGCCGCGGUAAUACGGAGGAUCCGAGCGUUAUCCGGAUUUAUUGGGUUUAAAGGGAGCGUAGAUGGAUGUUUAAGUCAGUUGUGAAAGUUUGCGGCUCAACCGUAAAAUUGCAGUUGAUACUGGAUAUCUUGAGUGCAGUUGAGGCAGGCGGAAUUCGUGGUGUAGCGGUGAAAUGCUUAGAUAUCACGAAGAACUCCGAUUGCGAAGGCAGCCUGCUAAGCUGCAACUGACAUUGAGGCUCGAAAGUGUGGGUAUCAAACAGGAUUAGAUACCCUGGUAGUCCACACGGUAAACGAUGAAUACUCGCUGUUUGCGAUAUACAGCAAGCGGCCAAGCGAAAGCGUUAAGUAUUCCACCUGGGGAGUACGCCGGCAACGGUGAAACUCAAAGGAAUUGACGGGGGCCCGCACAAGCGGAGGAACAUGUGGUUUAAUUCGAUGAUACGCGAGGAACCUUACCCGGGCUUAAAUUGCAGAUGAAUUACGGUGAAAGCCGUAAGCCGCAAGGCAUCUGUGAAGGUGCUGCAUGGUUGUCGUCAGCUCGUGCCGUGAGGUGUCGGCUUAAGUGCCAUAACGAGCGCAACCCUUGUUGUCAGUUACUAACAGGUUCCGCUGAGGACUCUGACAAGACUGCCAUCGUAAGAUGUGAGGAAGGUGGGGAUGACGUCAAAUCAGCACGGCCCUUACGUCCGGGGCUACACACGUGUUACAAUGGGGGGUACAGAGGGCCGCUACCACGCGAGUGGAUGCCAAUCCCCAAAACCUCUCUCAGUUCGGACUGGAGUCUGCAACCCGACUCCACGAAGCUGGAUUCGCUAGUAAUCGCGCAUCAGCCACGGCGCGGUGAAUACGUUCCCGGGCCUUGUACACACCGCCC
rnacentral:rRNA from 1 species